ACCCUGGGAUAGUUCCAGAAGUUACUGGUCUAUAAGGACUUUCAGUGUUAUCCUUUUAUUUUUUAAAUGCAACCUUGCCUACUUUUCUAUUUUACUUCACUGAACUUUAGUAGACUUGGGAGAGUUACUAAACUGACACCACAAUUCAGUAUUAGGUCGUGACUGUGAUAUUCUGUCUAAUCUAUCAGAGGAGAUGGAUUUAUAAUUUUACUGUUAAAAUAAAUUUAGAUGGCUAAGUUGUGUGCUAUGAAGUAGAUUCCUAUUUAAUCACACUGGAUGUUUGGAACAUUAAUUUUAUAACUCAGAAUCAUAAGUAUUAU
rnacentral:lncRNA from 1 species